AUUGGUGACAAAACCAUUACUACAAACGUUCGAUUGCAGGAUGUUUUGGUCGUUCCUCAGUUAAGCGUGCAGAACUCCGCAGUUAAGCGUGCUUGGGCGAGAGUAGUACUAGGAUGGGUGACCCCCUGGGAAGUCCUCGUGUUGCAACCCC
rnacentral:rRNA from 1 species